ensembl:lncRNA
GGUCACUGUAUGCAAAACAUUUGAGAAUAAUAAUACUUUAUGAACACUUAUAUAGUUUAUUAUAUCACCGUUAGUAUUUGGAUCUUACAAGCACCCUUAAACGAGACAUACAAUUGUUGUCUUGGAACAGUUUUGUAAAAGGGGACAUUUGAGCCAGUAUGGUCCCCAUUUCUAUCACAUCAUUUACAAACAUAUUUCAGUAUUUUGACAAAUCAUGUUCUGUUUAGUUGUACACAUACUGAUUCAGUUUAAUACCAAUCUACAUUCCACGAUGAAUGUGAAAAUAAGGCAUUGCAUUUAAAGCAAGGCAAUGUGAGUUAUUCACUUUCAUCACCAGUGAAAAAUAAAACAAUGCGCCGCUGAUGACAUCGGUUUUGGCGAGAAUAAAUAUACGCGUUCUGGUGACAGAUAAAUUCACCCGGCCUUGAAUGAUUCAUGAUUUGCUUUUGCAAUCUAGAUCCUUCCCCAUUUCCCCCUUAGUCCUCUUCCUCAGAUACCUACUUCCAUUCACCGAGUGUGUUUCCCCUUUCUGCUUAAGCUUAUAAAUAUAUUUCUAUUUCUAUAUAUUAUACAUAAAUCUAAAUAUGUGUAAAUGUGUGUUUAAGGAAAGUCACCAUGAUGCAAUGGAUCUGUAUGUCAGUUCAUUUAUUUAUCACCAUUACAGUAAAUUCAUUGCAAUUAUUAUAUAAUAUUUGCUAUUACAUAGAAUUAAGUGCCUUAAGGUACUGUCUGAAUGAAUCAUUACAUGUAUUUAAUGAAUUAUAGCGUCUAUUAUAUUUAUAUAGAAUUCUAGAGAUAUAAAUAUCGACAAUAAUAAAACAUACUCACGAUUGAAAAAUGGCAUGAUUGAAUAAUCUUCAGACACGUACAGAGUUAAUAAGUAUUUAUUACAGGAAGUCUACUAAUAGACUUAAAUUAAAUCCCUUCAUGUUCAGAUUUAUGUAAAGACAAAAUAUUGCAUAGAGUAUACUGCUCAUGUAUACGAAUAAAUGAAGAUUUAAUGUAUAAAACAGUGUGUGGUUUACUACACACUCUUAAAGUAUUCAUUUACACUUAAAGUAUUUAUUUCUAAUUAGUAUUAAAGAUGUCUGUCAUUAUUAUUAUUAUUAUUAUUAUUAUUAUUAUUAU